CCUACGGGAGGCAGCAGUGGGGAAUUUUGGACAAUGGGGGCAACCCUGAUCCGGCCAUUCCGCGUGAGUGAAGAAGGCCUUCGGGUUGUAAAGCUCUUUCGCAAGGGAAGAAAACUUAUGAUCGAAUAAAUCAUGAGGUUGACGGUACCUUGAUAAGAAGCACCGGCUAACUACGUGCCAGCAGCCGCGGUAAUACGUAGGGUGCGAGCGUUAAUCGGAAUUACUGGGCGUAAAGCGUGCGCAGGCGGUUUUGUAAGUCGGAUGUGAAAUCCCCGGGCUCAACCUGGGAACUGCGUUCGAAACUGCAAGGCUAGAGUGUGUCAGAGGGGGGUAGAAUUCCACGUGUAGCAGUGAAAUGCGUAGAGAUGUGGAGGAAUACCAAUGGCGAAGGCAGCCCCCUGGGAUAACACUGACGCUCAUGCACGAAAGCGUGGGGAGCAAACAGGAUUAGAUACCCUGGUAGUCCACGCCCUAAACGAUGUCAACUAGUUGUUGGUAGAGUAAAAUCUAUGAGUAACGUAGCUAACGCGUGAAGUUGACCGCCUGGGGAGUACGGUCGCAAGAAUUAAAACUCAAAGGAAAUUGACGGGCNGNGAGNGCGAGACGACACGAGGAGGAGG
rnacentral:rRNA from 1 species